rnacentral:lncRNA from 1 species
GGACACCACAGCAGUGGCAGGUGUGGCGUCUUCAAGUGAAAACUUCCCAGUCGCUGCCCCUUCCGAGGGCCCUGAACGGACUCAGAAGGCGACCCCGGACCGGAGGUGUGCAUGGGGAGAAGCCUGCACCUUCUUCUCUUCCGAGCUGUUCUCAUACACAGCCGUUUCGUACGCCUGCAGGUGUCAGGCGGAAGGGAUCUCGGCCCAGAGGAAGCCUUAGAGCGACUGUAUACCUUACUGUCUGACUCGGGACACUGUUGAGAGGGAAAGGGAGAAACUAAUCAUCACGCCAGGAGAUGUGGACACGGUGACCGUUCUGGGCACUCUGCGAACUGUGCCUCUUUGAGUCUUCUGGCAGACUAACCUCCUUUACAGCUGGAUGGAGCCUUGGGACUAGGUUCUGGACAACUGGAUAUUAACAGAAAUGAUGUGCAAUCUCUAGAUGCCAUUAAAGAAGGAGGCAGCCCUUUCUUUGCCUUUCGUCCUUUCUGCUGGCUGGAAUACAGACAUGCUGGUUGAAGCUGAAGCAGUCAUCUUGCACCAUGAAGUAAAUAUGGGAAAUGGAACUCAACCCAGAAAAGUACAAAACACAAGGAACUCCAAGAGCUAAUCUUGGAUAAGCACAGUUUGCCCACAACUGUGUGAAUCUGAAGUCGCCGAAGAGAAGAGGUGAUAGG